GACGAACGCUGGCGGCGUGCUUAACACAUGCAAGUCGAACGGAAAGGCCCCUUCGGGGGUACUCGAGUGGCGAACGGGUGAGUAACACGUGGGCAAUCUGCCCUGCACUUCGGGAUAAGCCUGGGAAACUGGGUCUAAUACCGGAUAGGACCACUUGGCGCAUGCCUUGUGGUGGAAAGCUUUUGCGGUGUGGGAUGGGCCCGCGGCCUAUCAGCUUGUUGGUGGGGUGAUGGCCUACCAAGGCGACGACGGGUAGCCGGCCUGAGAGGGUAUCCGGCCACACUGGGACUGAGAUACGGCCCAGACUCCUACGGGAGGCAGCAGUGGGGAAUAUUGCACAAUGGGCGCAAGCCUGAUGCAGCGACGCCGCGUGGGGGAUGACGGCCUUCGGGUUGUAAACCUCUUUCAGCAGGGACGAAGCGAAAGUGACGGUACCUGCAGAAGAAGCACGGGCCAACUACGUGCCAGCCGCCGCCGUAAAAC
rnacentral:rRNA from 1 species